rnacentral:lncRNA from 1 species
CGCCCCAUCCUGCUGACAGGCCUCAGCCACAGGUGCUCAUUGUCUCUCUGGCAACCCUUUCUGCUGUGGGCAUGCUGGGCUGUUCUCCAAGCCCUUCCUCACAUGCAGCGGGGCUCCCCAAAGCCCCAGCUCUGUGUCUGGCUCUGCAGGGUCCCUCCAGGCUGAGUCCUCAGCCCCUCCCUCCAGGCUCACUUCCCCGCCGCCUGGAGGAAUGUCAGCAGACACCGCAGGGCUGGUUCUCUGAGUUCUGGCGGCACCUCCACCCUGUGAUGUUGGGCAAACCCCUCGCCCUGACCCAGCCUGUCUCCUCUGCAGAACUCCCAGGGCAAGAAGUGACCUCCAGGGACCCUUCCCCCUCUGACCUCAAUCUGAGAACUUCUCCAAGAAGACUCCCACCCCACACCAGCCGCUGGCGGCGGGGCAGGACCUUACAACUAUGAACCUGAAGAACUUCAAUCAGCAAAAAGGGCCCCUUGGAAUCACCCAGACCCAGCCUUCACUGACAGAUGGAGAAACUGAGGCCAGAGAAGGGAAAGACUUCCCUAAGUUCCCCCGGCCUUGUGUGCUAAUCUACACAGCAGGUACUCAACAGAGUACUGUCCCUGCAGUGAGGGAGCCGUCCAGAGUGAGAGCCUGAGAUCAGCAGGGCCUUCCACAGAGACAGUGGGAAGAUGAGGUGGAGAUGCGAAUAAACCUGGAGGGCGCAGGGGUUGGGGGGCCCCCUAACACAUACACAUACACAUGACAUCUAUUUCAUUAGGUGCAGGUUCACUCCCCAUCUGGGUAGUAGGAUCCCAAAGUGAACAUUUGAUUAGAUGCUUUGGGCACUCAUGGGGGCAAUGAGGGACAGCCAUUGAGAAUACAGUCCUCCGUGACUUAACCCAUUUAUGCCUAAGGUUGCAAUUUUUUGAAUUUUUGCAAUCAGACCUUGGCAAUGACCUUGAUCAGUAGGAUAAAAAUAACUCCCACAUGCUUAGCGUUCCAAUAAUGGAACACCAGGCAUAAUUGUUAAGAAGUGACACAGCCAGGUGCAGUAGCCUGUAAUCACAGCAUUUGGGGAGGCGGAGGUGGGUGAAUCAUUUGAGCCCAGGAGUUCAAGACCAGCCUGAGCAACAUGGCAAAACCCUGUCUCUUUAAAAAUUACAAAAGAUUAGCUGAGCAUGGUGGCACAUGUCUAUAAUCCCAGCUAUUCAGGAGGCUGAGGCAGGAGGAUUGCUUGCGCCUGGGGAGUUGAGACAGCAGUGAACUGAGAUCAUACCACUGUGCUCCAGCCUGGGCAACAGAGCAAGACCCUGUCUCAAAAAAAAAAAAAAAGUGACAGAGACCUUCUUGGAGGCUUGACUGUACACUGUACACAAGGGUUUGCAGGACUGAUAACUUUAAGGACACUGGCUGUAUUUCCAGAUCCCCCGCCUCAGAAAAGCUUGUCAUUGUAUUUCUUCCCCAGGGUUGGGACUUCCUAGCCCAGGAACGGGAGUUCUAGACCACACAGCUGAUGGGUAAGCUUUUCGAAACUCAUAUUAUUUAGCUUCAUGCCCAUAUUUCCAGGGUACACAGACUCAUGCACAUGCUUGUAAAUCAACAUUGCUCUGUAGGAAAACUCAUACACCAAUAAUUGUGUGUGCACACACACAUGUAAAUAUGCACAGGUGAAUACAAGUUCCAGACAACUCAAACUUGUGCUUGUAGUAGCUGCAGGUGGUUCUUGGAAGUUUAGCCAUAGCAACCACAUUGUUUUCACUAAUUGGUGGCACCACCUAGUGGUGACACUGUAAAUAAAUCAGUUUUGUAUUCUGACCUGUCAAAAGUUACAGUAUCUGAUGGUUGUUUAUAGAUCAUAAUUUGUACCCAUGCAUUUAAAUCCUCUCUAUUCCAAGUUCCUAUUAAAAUAGACAAAGAGGCAAAAGAGGGAAAAAUCCUAUUCCACACCAGAAAUCAAUAAAAAAAAUCAAAUUACUGGCCCACAAACUUUAAGGAAUUUCAACAAGAUACAGUACAAAUGGAGCCAAG